rnacentral:rRNA from 1 species
GGAGUCCAGCGUGCGCGCGAGUCAUUGGGCAAAAUACUAAACCUAAAGGCGAAAUGAAAGUGAAGACGCGCUAGGCGCGCGUCGAGGGAAGAUGGGCCCGAUUCCAUAAGGCCUCGCAUUCCCGGGGCGUCCCUUUUUCGUUUACGAAAAUGGGCGCACCUAGAGCGUGCACGCUGGGACCCGAAAGAUGGUGAACUAUGCCUGGUCAGGACGAAGUCAGGGGAAACCCUGAUGGAGGUCCGUAGCGAUUCUGACGUGCAAAUCGAUCGUCGGAACUGGGUAUAGGGGCGAAAGACUAAUCGAACCAUCUAGUAGCUGGUUCCCUCCGAAGUUUCCCUCAGGAUAGCUGGCGCACAUUGAUGCGAGUUUCAUCCGGUAAAGCGAAUGAUUAGAGGCAUUGGGGACGAAACGUCCUCAACCUAUUCUCAAACUUUAAAUGGGUGAGAACUUCGGCUUUCUUAAAGUGCGCGUUAGGGUUCGCCUUCGCGGGCGUUCUUCUGCGCGCUAUUAUGAAGCCGCAAGUAUCGAAUCCGUGUGCCAAGUGGGCCAUUUUUGGUAAGCAGAACUGGCGUUGUGGGAUGAACCAAACGUAAAGUUAAAGCGCCUAAGUGGACGCUUAUUAGAUACCAUGAAAGGCGUUGGUAACUUAAGACAGCAGGACGGUGGCCAUGGAA